rnacentral:rRNA from 1 species
UACGGGGGGAGCAAGCGUUGUUCGGAUUUACUGGGCGUAAAGGGCGCGUAGGCGGCCACCGCAAGUCGGUUGUGAAAUCUCUGGGCUUAACCCAGAAAGGUCAACCGAUACUGCGGGGCUAGAGUGCGGAAGGGGCAACUGGAAUUCUCGGUGUAGCGGUGAAAUGCGUAGAUAUCGAGAGGAACACCUGCGGCGAAGGCGGGUUGCUGGGCCGACACUGACGCUGAUGCGCGAAAGCUAGGGGAGCGAACGGG